AGCGAACGCUGGCGGCAGGCCUAACACAUGCAAGUCGAGCGGUCCCUUCGGGGGCAGCGGCGGACGGGUGAGUAACACGUGGGAACGUGCCCUUUGGUUCGGGAUAACUCUGGGAAACUAGAGCUAACACCGGAUACGCCGGAAACGGGAAAGGUUACGCCGAAGGAGCGGCCCGCGUCUGAUUAGCUAGUUGGUGAGGUAAAGGCUCACCAAGGCUACGAUCAGUAGCUGGUCUGAGAGGAUGACCAGCCACAUUGGGACUGAGACACGGCCCAAACUCCUACGGGAGGCAGCAGUGAGGAAUAUUGGACAAUGGAGGAAACUCUGAUCCAGCCAUGCCGCGUGAGUGAAGAAGGCCUUCGGGUUGUAAAGCUCUUUUACCCCUGACGAUAAUGACGGUAAGGGGAGAAAAAGCCACGGCUAACUUCGUGCCAGCAGCCGCCGUAACAC
rnacentral:rRNA from 1 species